UGCCGGAUGCUCCAGUUGGAUGCAUGUCCUUCUGGGAAAGAUUCAUCGGUAUGGGAUGGGGUCGCGUCCUAUCAGCUUGAUGGCGGGGUAACGGCCCACCAUGGCUUCGACGGGUAGCCGGCCUGAGAGGGCGACCGGCCACAUUGGGACUGAGAUACGGCCCAGACUCCUACGGGAGGCAGCAGUGGGGAAUAUUGCACAAUGGGCGCAAGCCUGAUGCAGCGACGCCGCGUGCGGGAUGACGGCCUUCGGGUUGUAAACCGCUUUUGACUGGGAGCAAGCCCUUCGGGGUGAGUGUACCUUUCGAAUAAGCACCGGCUAACUACGUGCCAGCAGCCGCGGUAAUACGUAGGGUGCAAGCGUUAUCCGGAAUUAUUGGGCGUAAAGGGCUCGUAGGCGGUUCGUCGCGUCCGGUGUGAAAGUCCAUCGCUUAACGGUGGAUCCGCGCCGGGUACGGGCGGGCUUGAGUGCGGUAGGGGAGACUGGAAUUCCCGGUGUAACGGUGGAAUGUGUAG
rnacentral:rRNA from 1 species